CCGAGUGUAGGGUUCCUAGCGAGCCCAACCUCCCACCCGUGUUUACUGUACCUUAGUUGCUUCGGCGGGCCCGCCAUUCAUGGCCGCCGGGGGCUCUCAGCCCCGGGCCCGCGCCCGCCGGAGACACCACGAACUCUGUCUGAUCUAGUGAAGUCUGAGUUGAUUGUAUCGCAAUCAGUUAAAACUUUCAACAAUGGAUCUCUUGGUUCCGGCAUCGAUGAAGAACGCAGCGAAAUGCGAUAACUAGUGUGAAUUGCAGAAUUCCGUGAAUCAUCGAGUCUUUGAACGCACAUUGCGCCCCCUGGUAUUCCGGGGGGCAUGCCUGUCCGAGCGUCAUUGCUGCCCAUCAAGCACGGCUUGUGUGUUGGGUCGUCGUCCCCUCUCCGGGGGGGACGGGCCCCAAAGGCAGCGGCGGCACCGCGUCCGAUCCUCGAGCGUAUGGGGCUUUGUCACCCGCUCUGUAGGCCCGGCCGGCGCUUGCCGAACGCAAAUCAAUCUUUUUCCAGGUUGACCUCGGAUCAGGUAGGGAUACCCGCUGAACUUAAGCAUAUCAAUAAGCG
rnacentral:rRNA from 1 species